rnacentral:rRNA from 1 species
UGGGGAAUCUUGCGCAAUGGGCGAAAGCCUGACGCAGCGACGCCGCGUGUGGGAUGAAGGUCUUCGGAUUGUAAACCACUGUCGGGAGGGACGAAGCUCUGACGGUACCUCCAAAGGAAGCACCGGCUAACUCUGUGCCAGCAGCCGCGGUAAUACAGAGGGUGCAAGCGUUGUCCGGAAUCACUGGGCGUAAAGGGCGCGUAGGCGGCCUGGUAAGUCGGGGGUGAAAUUCUGCGGCUCAACCGCAGGACGGCCUUCGAGACUGCUGGGCUCGAGCACGGUAGAGGCUGGUGGAAUUCCCGGUGUAGCGGUGGAAUGCGUAGAGAUCGGGAAGAACAUCGGUGGCGAAGGCGGCCAGCUGGGCCGUUGCUGACGCUGGGGCGCGACAGCGUGGGGAGCAAACAGGAUUAGAUACCCUGGUAGUCCACGCCCUAAACGGUGGGCACUAGGUGUGGGAUUCGUAAGGGUUCCGUGCCGAAGGGAAACCAUUAAGUGCCCCGCCUGGGGAGUACGGCCGCAAGGUUG